UCCCUGGUGGUCCAGUGGCUAAGACUCCCCACUCCCAAUGCAGGGGGUCCUGGGUUCAAUCCCUGGUCAGGGAA
rfam:TPA: Bos taurus chromosome 21, whole genome shotgun sequence.